GAGCAACGUAGGAUGUGAAAAGUCCAAAAUACCCUUACUGUUUUAAAUAUUUCCCAGCAGUCCGUUUCAUCAGUUAAGUCCAGUUUAUCACGUUUUUUUUCUAGGAGCCGUACUGAUUUAGCUCUGAGCCAAAACAUGAAAGUUGUAGUGUUCUGAAGUAGCUUUAAAAUGCCUCAAAGAACACCUGAAUUGGACUUUUGUACACUGAGUUAUGACCAUUACAGUGUUCUGCGUUUAAACAGCCGACGAAUUGGUUUCUGGUUUAGUAAUUCGAGAAUUUGACUGAGUUACAUUAGGAACUGGACUAAGUGACCUUCAUGAAUGUUGUAGCUCUGUGU
rnacentral:lncRNA from 1 species